rnacentral:rRNA from 1 species
UACGGGGGGGAGCAAGCGUUUGUUCGGAUUUACUGGGCGUAAAGGGCGCGUAGGCGGCGCAACAAGUCACUUGUGAAAUCUCCGGGCUUAACCCGGAGCGGCCAAGUGAUACUGUCGUGCUAGAGUGCGGAAGGGGCUACUGGAAUUCUCGGUGUAGCGGUGAAAUGCGUAGAUAUCGAGAGGAACACCUGCGGCGAAGGCGGGUUGCUGGGCCAUAACUGACGCUGAGAAGCGAAAGCAUGGGGAGCGAACAGG